GGAUGUGAGGGCGAUAUGGCUGCAAAAUGUUACCCCACUGAUAUCUGGCUGGCUAGGCGGGUGUCCCCUUCUUCCCUCACCAUCCCUCCCAAAGCUGCACACUCCACUUGGGGUGAUGGAGGAUAGACAGCCUUCCCUGAACACAGACGACCUGUGUUCAGUCGAGGGGAUACAAGUAGCUGCGCUCCCCUGCUAGACCCUCCAAACAAGCACUGAAGGCCCAAAAGUCUCUAUCCCAUCCCAGAUAUGAAAUUAACCUCCCUCCUCAAAAGUCGAUUAUUUGUAGCUAUUAUGACACUUCCUGAUAGAG
rnacentral:snRNA from 1 species